rnacentral:rRNA from 1 species
AUUGAACGCUGGCGGCAGGCCUAACACAUGCAAGUCGAGCGAGCGGCGGACGGGUGAGUAAUGUAUGGGGACUGCCCGAUAGAGGGGGAUAACUACUGGACACGGAAGCUAAUAACGCAUACUAUAGGAUAACCCAUAUGUGAUUAGCUAGUUGGUGUGGUAAUGGCUCACCCAGGCGACGAUCCCUAGCUGGUCUGAGAGGAUGAUCAGCAACACUGGAACUGAGACACGGCCCAGUCGCCUACGAAGGCAGCAGUGGGGAAUAUUGCACAAGGGGCUGAAGGCUGAUGCAGCCAGGCCGCGUGUAUGAAGAAGGCCUUCGGGUUGUAAAGUUCUUUCGGUAGGGAAGCGUUAACUACAGAAGAAGCACCGGCUAACUCCGUGCCAGCCGCCGCGGUAAUAC